CCCGUGCUUGCAUUUCCUAUCAUGAUUUUCUUGAUAGAGGUUUGCUGCUCACAAGGAAGCUAUUAAACCAAGAGUUCCAAAUGGUGAAGUUGAAAUCAUCCCUUCGUAAAUUUUACGGACGCCAUCACGAGUUGGUUGACCGUUAUGGAAUAACCGUUUCACAAAUGAUAUCGGAUAUGCUCCUUACGUCGUAACUACAAUCCCCUUCCCUUUCAUGAAUAUGACCUACCGAAUUAGACUAUUUACCGGAUUUGUAAUCACUUAAGCAACACGACGGGUGCCACAUGUGGAGCAGGAUAUGCUUACCCUUCCGGAGCACCUGAGAUCACCC
rnacentral:lncRNA from 1 species